GUGCCAGCAGCCGCGGUAAUACGGGAGUGGCAAGCGUUAUCCGGAAUUAUUGGGCGUAAAGCGUCCGCAGGCGGCCUUUCAAGUCUGCUGUUAAAGCGUGGAGCUUAACUCCAUUAUGGCAGUGGAAACUGAUCGGCUUGAGUAUGGUAGGGGCAGAGGGAAUUCCCGGUGUAGCGGUGAAAUGCGUAGAUAUCGGGAAGAACACCAGUGGCGAAGGCGCUCUGCUGGGCCAUUACUGACGCUCAUGGACGAAAGCCAGGGGAGCGAAAGGGAUUAGAUACCCCUGUAGUCCUGGCCGUAAACGAUGAACACUAGGUGUCGGGGGAAUCGACCCCUUCGGUGUCGUAGCUAACGCGUUAAGUGUUCCGCCUGGGGAGUACGCACGCAAGUGUGAAACUCAAAGGAAUUGACGGGGGCCCGCACAAGCGGUGGAGUAUGUGGUUUAAUUCGAUGCAACGCGAAGAACCUUACCAGGGUUUGACAUCCCUGGA
rnacentral:rRNA from 1 species